rnacentral:rRNA from 1 species
GACGAACGCUGGCGGCGUGCUUAACACAUGCAAGUCGAACGGAAAGGCCCUGCUUUUGUGGGGUGCUCGAGUGGCGAACGGGUGAGUAACACGUGAGUAACCUGCCCUUGACUUUGGGAUAACUUCAGGAAACUGGGGCUAAUACCGGAUAGGAGCUCCUGCUGCAUGGUGGGGGUUGGAAAGUUUCGGCGGUUGGGGAUGGACUCGCGGCUUAUCAGCUUGUUGGUGGGGUAGUGGCUUACCAAGGCUUUGACGGGUAACCGGCCUGAGAGGGUGACCGGCCACAUUGGGACUGAGAGACGGCCCAGACUCCUACGGGAGGCAGCAGUGGGGAAUAUUGCACAAUGGGCGGAAGCCUGAUGCAGCAACGCCGCGUGCGGGAUGACGGCCUUCGGGUUGUAAACCGCUUUCGCCUGUGACGAAGCGUGAGUGACGGUAAUGGGUAAAGAAGCACCGGCUAACUACGUG